GAUGUGAUUAUAUGAGAUUUUUGACAAAGUAGUUCUGUUAUACACUGGAAAUUAGUGUGAAUUCCAGCAAACCUGAUUCCCUGCUGUGUGAAAUGGGAAAUCUGAAGAAGAAGAAAGAUCUGUCAAGAGAAUAAUAUAUUCCAUUAAUAGUUGACAUAUGUGCAAAUUAGUUGAAGAAAGAAGUCUUGAAUAUACAGGUAUGUAUAGAGUUCCUGGAAAUAAUGCAGCCAUAUCAAGUAUGCAAGAAGAACUCAACAAGGGAAUGGCUGAUAUUGAUAUACAAGAUGAUAAAUGGCGAGAUUUGAAUGUGAUAAGCAGUUUACUAAAAUCCUUCUUUAGAAAACUUCCUGAGCCUCUCUUCACAAAUGGUGAGUUAACUCCCAUAAA